GCAUAACGCGAAGAACCUUACCAGGCCUUGACAUGCAGAGAACUUUCCAGAGAUGGAUUGGUGCCUUCGGGGAACUCUGACACAGGUGCUGCAUGGCUGUCGUCAGCUCGUGUCGUGAGAUGUUGGGUUAAGUCCCGUAACGAGCGCAACCCUUGUCCUUAGUUACCAGCACGUAAUGGUGGGCACUCUAAGGAGACUGCCGGUGACAAACCGGAGGAAGGUGGGGAGUGACGUCAAGUCAUCAUGGCCCUUACGGCCUGGGCUACACACGUGCUACAAUGGUCGGUACAGAGGGUUGCCAAGCCGCGAGGUGGAGCUAAUCCCAUAAAACCGAUCGUAGUCCGGAUCGCAGUCUGCAACUCGACUGCGUGAAGUCGGAAUCGCUAGUAAUCGCGAAUCAGAAUGUCGCGGUGAAUACGUUCCCGGGUCUUGUACACACCGAGUCGUGGGAGGCGAAGGGCACGACAGGGGGGGGAUA
rnacentral:rRNA from 1 species